UACGGAGGGUGCAAGCGUUAUCCGGUAUUUACUGGGUUUAAAGGGUGCGUAGGUGGGCAGGUAAGUCAGUGGUGAAAUCUCCGAGCUUAACUCGGAACUGCCAUUGAUACUAUCUGUCUUGAAUAUCCUGGAGGUAAGCGGAAUAUGUCAUGUAGCGGUGAAAUGCUUAGAUAUGACAUAGAACACCAAUUGCGAAGGCAGCUUACUACCCGAAUAUUGACACUGAGGCACGAAAGCGUGGGGAUCAAACAGG
rnacentral:rRNA from 1 species